UACGGAGGGUGCAAGCGUUAUCCGGAUUCACUGGGUUUAAAGGGAGCGUAGGUGGGCUGGUAAGUCAGUGGUGAAAUCCCCGAGCUUAACUUGGGAACUGCCAUUGAUACUAUCAGUCUUGAAUACUGUGGAGGCUAGCGGAAUAUGUCAUGUAGCGGUGAAAUGCUUAGAUAUGACAUAGAACACCAAUUGCGAAGGCAGCUGGCUACACAAAUAUUGACACUGAGGCGCGAAAGCGUGGGGAGCGAACAGG
rnacentral:rRNA from 1 species